CUACGGGCGGCACUAGUGAGGAAUAUUGCACAAUGGGGGGAACCCUGAUGCAGCAACGCCGCGCGGAGGAUGGCGCAUUUCGGUGUGUAAACUCCUUUUAUAUGUCAAGAAAAUGACGGUAGCAUAUGAAUAAGCACCGGCUAACUCCGUGCCAGCAGCCGCGGUAAUACGGAGGGUGCAAGCGUUACUCGGAAUCACUGGGCGUAAAGGACGCGUAGGCGGGUUGGAAAGUCAGGUGUGAAAUCCUACAGCUUAACUGUAGAACUGCACUUGAAACUUCUAAUCUAGAGUAUGGGAGGGGGAGAUGGAAUUAGUGGUGUAGGGGUAAAAUCCGUAGAUAUCACUAGGAAUACCUAAAGCGAAGGCGAUCUCCUGGAACAUUACUGACGCUAAGGCGUGAAAGCGUGGGGAGCAAACAGGAUUAGAUACCCUAGUAGUC
rnacentral:rRNA from 1 species